UGCAUCAUCAUAACUUCUGCUUCAGAUCUAUUUUGCAAAAACUUAUCUGAAUGAGUGUGUGCAUGCAUGUGUGUCACGUCUUCCUUCAGAAAACCUCAUGAGAGCCGGAAACCAAGCCAGAAAAUACCCGUGUUUCUUUUUAGUUUUAGUCAUAUCUGCCUCAGACUGAGGAUGUAAUGUGCUGCAUAGUUUCCAAAGAAGAGAGUGUAAGAAUAGAGAGUGAACUUUAAGCCUAGAUAUGUUGGUUGUCCAUAGCAGCUGGUCAUCAGCAGCAUUGCUACGACAAGGUGUCCCAUUACUUGCCAACACAAACACACUCGGUGACCUCCAGACUAUGCAGAGCAGCUGGUUGAUGUUGUUAUUUACGUCAGAAUGUGUGUGUUUGUUUGCCUGUGAGGAGAAUGAUAUGACAAUGUUUGAUAAGCCGUCAUGAAUCCACUUGCUCUUAUUUCCUCUCUAAAUGAAAAGCCAGAGAGGAAGUGAGUGAAUAUCAGUUUCACUGCCUCUGCUACGUUAUUCUCGUCCUCAGGUUUAUAUUAAGGACUGCUCCGGCCUACUUAAACCUUUCUCUGUCGGCGAGGGGUAGAUUAUAGCCCCUGUAUCUGCAUCUGCUGAGGAAGACUGUGAGAUGUGGUUGAUAGCUCUGGAAAAAGUAUGUUGACCUUGGAGUUAAGAUUUUCUUUUUUCAAGGUGAACCUUCAAGUCUUAUAGCCAAAAUGAUAUAAUGCUAUAAUUCCUCGCCUAUGGUUGAACAGACUUCUGUUUGAGAAGUUGUAAAAAUGUUUCUUGUGGUUAUGUUUUUAAUAAUUAUAAAUUGAAGGUAUUUGGCCAAUAAAAAAUAUUUUUAUUUUA